rnacentral:tRNA from 1 species
GGGCUCGUUGUCCAACGGUAAGACGCUACCUUCACAAGGUAGAGAACGGAGUUCGACUCUCCGCGGGCCCA